rnacentral:rRNA from 1 species
GACGAACGCUGGCGGCGUGCCUAAUACAUGCAAGUAGAACGCUGAAGGAGGAGCUUGCUUCUCUGGAUGAGUUGCGAACGGGUGAGUAACGCGUAGGUAACCUGCCUGGUAGCGGGGGAUAACUAUUGGAAACGAUAGCUAAUACCGCAUAACAGUAGAUAUCGCAUGAUAUCUACUUGAAAGGUGCAAUUGCCUCACUACCAGAUGGACCUGCGUUGUAUUAGCUAGUUGGUGAGGUAACGGCUCACCAAGGCGACGAUACAUAGCCGACCUGAGAGGGGGGUCGGCCACACUGGGACUGAGACACGGCCCAGACUCCUACGGGAGGCAGCAGUAGGGAAUCUUCGGCAAUGGACGGAAGUCUGACCGAGCAACGCCGCGGGAGUGAAGAAGGUUUUCGGAUCGUAAAGCUCUGUUGUAAGAGAAGAACGAGUGUGAGAGUGGAAAGUUCACACUGUGACGGUAUCUUACCAGAAAGGGACGGCUAACUACGUG